UACGGGGGGAGCAAGCGUUGUUCGGAUUUACUGGGCGUAAAGGGCGCGUAGGCGGCCACCGCAAGUCGGUUGUGAAAUCUCUGGGCUUAACCCAGAAAGGUCAACCGAUACUGCGGGGCUAGAGUGCAGAAGGGGCAACUGGAAUUCUCGGUGUAGCGGUGAAAUGCGUAGAUAUCAGGAAGAACACCGGUGGGGAAGGCGGCUCGCUGGGCCAGUUCUGACACUCAUCCGCGAAAGCGUGGGGAGCAAACAGG
rnacentral:rRNA from 1 species